rnacentral:rRNA from 1 species
GGACUACCGGGGUUUCUAAUCCCGUUCGCUCCCCUAGCUUUCGCGCCUCAGCGUCAGAAGAGAUCCAGCACGUCGCUUUCGCCACCGGCGUUCCUUCCGAUAUCAACGCAUUUCACCGCUCCACCGGAAGUUCCACAUGCCCCUACCUCCCUCGAGACUGGCAGUAUCCAGGGCAAUUUUCCGGUUGAGCCGAAAGAUUUCACCCCAGACUUGCAAGCCCGCCUACGCGCCCUUUAAGCCCAGUGAUUCCGAACAACGUUUGCACGGUUCGUCUUACCGCGGCUGCUGGCAC